AGUUGGCUCAGUGGUAGAGCGCUUGCCUUGCGUGCAUGAGGUCCUGGGUUCGAUUCCUCAGCACUA
rnacentral:tRNA from 1 species